GGGAUUGCCUCAGUAACGGCGAGUGAAGCGGCAACAGCUCAAAUUUGAAAUCUGGCCCCCCGGGUCCGAGUUGUAAUUUGCAGAGGAAGCUUUUGGCGAGGCGCCUUCCGAGUUCCCUGGAUACGGGACGCCAUAGAGGGUGAGAGCCCCGUACGGUCUGGUGCCGAGCCUCUGUAAAGCUCCUUCGACGAGUCGAGUAGUUUGGGAAUGCUGCUCUAAGUGGGAGGUAAACUCCUUCUAAAGCUAAAUACUGGCCAGAGACCGAUAGCGCACAAGUAGAGUGAUCGAAAGAUGAAAAGCACUUUGGAAAGAGAGUUAAAAAGCACGUGAAAUUGUUGAAAGGGAAGCGCUUGUGACCAGACUUGCGCCUGGCAGCUUAGCCGCCCUUCUGGGCGGUGUACUCUGCCGGCUCAGGCCAGCAUCAGUUUCGGGCAGGGGAGAAAUGCGGCGGGAAUGUGGCUCUUCGGAGUGUUAUAGCCCGCCGUUAUGCCCUGCCGGGGACUGAGGUUCGCGCUCUGCACGGAUGCUGGCGUAAUGGUUACUAGCGACCCGUCUUGAAACACGGACCAAGGAGUCAUCCUCAUAUGCGAGUGUUAGGGUGCAAAACCCCUACGCGAAAUGAAAGUGAACGGAGGUGAGAGCUUCGGCGCAUCAUCGACCGAUCCUGAUGUUAUCGGAUGGAUUUGAGUAUGAGCAUAUGGGGCUGGACCCGAAAGAAGGUGAACUAUGCUUGGAUAGGGUAAAGCCAGAGGAAACUCUGGUGGAGGCUCGCAGCGGUUCUGACGUGCAAAUCGAUCGUCAAAUCUGAGCAUGGGGGCGAAAGACUAAUCGAACCUUCUAGUAGCUGGUUUCCGCCGAAGUUUCCCUCAGGAUAGCAGUGUUGAUCUCAGUUUUAUGAGGUAAAGCGAAUGAUUAGGGACUCGGGGGCGCUUAUUAGCCUUCAUCCAUUCUCAAACUUUAAAUAUGUAAGAAGCCCUUGUUACUUUAGUGAACGGGG
rnacentral:rRNA from 1 species